UACGUAUGGUGCAAGCGUUAUCCGGAUUUACUGGGUGUAAAGGGAGCGCAGGCGGCGCGGCAAGUCCGAUGUGAAAACCCCCGGCUCAACCGGGGGACUGCAUUGGAAACUACCGGGCUGGAGUGCCGGAGAGGUAGGCGGAAUUCCUGGUGUAGCGGUGAAAUGCGUAGAUAUCAGGAGGGACACCAGUGGCGAAGGCGGCCUACUGGACGGUGACUGACGCUGAGGCUCGAAAGCGUGGGGAGCAAACAGG
rnacentral:rRNA from 1 species